rnacentral:rRNA from 1 species
AGAGUUUGAUCCUGGCUCAGGACGAACGCUGGCGGCGUGCUUAACACAUGCAAGUCGAACGGAAAGGCUCCUGCUUGCAGGGGUACUCGAGUGGCGAACGGGUGAGUAACACGUGGGUGAUCUGCCCUGCACUUCGGGAUAAGCCUGGGAAACUGGGUCUAAUACCGGAUAGGAGCCAUUUUUAGUGUGAUGGUUGGAAAGUUUUUUCGGUGUAGGAUGAGCUCGCGGCCUAUCAGCUUGUUGGUGGGGUAAUGGCCUACCAAGGCGGCGACGGGUAGCCGGCCUGAGAGGGUGGACGGCCACAUUGGGACUGAGAUACGGCCCAGACUCCUACGGGAGGCAGCAGUGGGGAAUAUUGCACAAUGGGCGGAAGCCUGAUGCAGCGACGCCGCGUGGGGGAUGACGGCCUUCGGGUUGUAAACUCCUUUCGCUAGGGACGAAGCUUUUUGUGACGGUACCUAGAUAAGAAGCACCGGCUAACUACGUGCCAGCAGCCGCGGUAAUACGUAGGGUGCGAGCGUUGUCCGGAAUUACUGGGCGUAAAGGGCUCGUAGGUGGUUUGUCGCGUCGUCUGUGAAAUUCCGGGGCUUAACUCCGGGCGUGCAGGCGAUACGGGCAUAACUUGAGUACUGUAGGGGUAACUGGAAUUCCUGGUGUAGCGGUGAAAUGCGCAGAUAUCAGGAGGAACACCGAUGGCGAAGGCAGGUUACUGGGCAGUUACUGACGCUGAGGAGCGAAAGCAUGGGUAGCGAACAGGAUUAGAUACCCUGGUAGUCCAUGCCGUAAACGGUGGGCGCUAGGUGUGAGGGUCUUUUCACGACUUUCGUGCCGUAGCUAACGCAUUAAGCGCCCCGCCUGGGGAGUACGGCCGCAAGGCUAAAACUCAAAGGAAUUGACGGGGGCCCGCACAAGCGGCGGAGCAUGUGGAUUAAUUCGAUGCAACGCGAAGAACCUUACCUGGGCUUGACAUACACUGGAUCGGGCUAGAGAUAGUCUUUCCCUUUGUGGCUGGUGUACAGGUGGUGCAUGGUUGUCGUCAGCUCGUGUCGUGAGAUGUUGGGUUAAGUCC